UGAUUGACUUAACUGUGCCUCACUACCGAAUCAUUAACGAAAUUCUGUACAGGUGUAGUAGGCCUAAAGAGGCAGGUAAUGACGAUUGUGAAAUAAUUCGCCAAUUAAUGGUUCCUUUCAGUUUCAGGUUGGGAUUAAUGUCGGUGGCACAUGAAAAUCCUUUGUCAGGUCAUUUUGGCAUUCGAAAGACUACGUUGAAACUUCUGUCCGACUUCUGGUGGCCAGGUUUGAAAUCGGAUGUAAAGAAGUUUGUCAACGGUUGCGAUAUUUGUCAAAAGGUAGGAAAACCGAAUCAGUUGGUUCCAAAGGCGCCGUUGAUCCCUAUUCCUUUGGUGUCAGAACCUUUCAAGGAAGUAAUUAUUGAUGUGGUUGGUCCCUUACCUAGAUCUAGGAGUGGGAAUGAAUACAUUUUUACUAUCAUGGAUAGAAUGUCCCGUUUUCCUGAGGCUAUUCCCCUCCGUACAAUCAAGAGUGUAAAGAUUGUGGAUGUCUUAAUAAAUUUCUUUACCAAGUUUGGGUUACCUAAAGUAAUUCAAAGUGACAAUGGUUCUAAUUUUACCAGUAGAUAUUUCAGGAGUAAGAUGGCAGAAUUAGGAAUUAAGCAUGUAACUUCGUCCCCAUACCAUCCGGAGACUCAAGGCGCUUUGGAGAGGUUCCACCAAACUUUGAAAUCGAUGCUGCGGAAAUAUUGUCUGGCUCAUGGAUCCGAGUGGGAUAAGGAACUUCCCUACUUACUGUUUGCUUUUCGUUCAUCUCCAGAGUCCUGUUUUCGGUCUCCUUGGAGCAUUCCGAGGUGACUUUGGAAGUCCCUGUGCCCAGGUAUGGCAGUCUGUUUCUGGCCUUCGUGUUGAUACCACACCAUAUGGAUUACAGCAAGUUCGCUCCUUUAUUCUGCUACGACUUGAGCGCUCUUUAUCCCUGGAGCUUGUUGCAACGCUGCUGCUUCAUCUUGCUGUAGCCUUGGGCCAGUAUUAGCCUGGGGGACCUCUCCGUGAGCAGGUAUAGAGCCUUUGAUUUUUGUGACGUCUGGAGGGACGUGUAUUUGUGACGUCCAAGGGACGAGGAUCUUCCUGAAGAAGGUCGGGCUUUACUCUGCCGCUAUUUGGAAGAUAGCGGGACAUACCUUCCCGUUCCUUCGAUAUCCACGACGUCGUUUCUGGAUCAAUUACAGUUCCUAUAAGAAUUUGUGGGGAUUUAAACUCUUAGUGGCCACUUUAAAUUAGUUAGGUUAAUUUAGUUUUGUUAAUUGUUAGGCUUCUUUCUGGCCGUUAUUUUCUCUUUUCUUUCGGGACCCCCUUAUUUUGGAGAAUGUCUGGUUUGAUUCUGUAAGUAAUAGUGUGGGUGUUUUAUUCAAUAGUGUUCAUAUUGUGUGAUUGCUUUUCAUUUAAUUUUGUAUUUAUAGAGGUUCCGUUAAUCAUUUCUAUCUAUGCUGUGUUUGUAAAUAUAUUAUAUUAUUUUUA